rnacentral:rRNA from 1 species
GGCGGACAGGUGAGUAACACGUGAGAAUUUACCUUUAGGAGGGGGAUAACAAUUGGAAACGAUUGCUAAUACCCCAUAUGCUUUUGAGUGAAAUGGAUUUAUAUUUAUCCGCCUAGAGAGAAGCUCGCGGCUGAUUAGCUUGUUGGUAAGGUAAGAGCUUACCAAGGCGACGAUCAGUAUCUGGUUUGGGAGGACGAUCAGACACACUGGAACUGAGACACGGUCCAG